GACGAACGCUGGCGGCGUGCCUAAUACAUGCAAGUCGAGCGAGCAGAACCAGCAGAUUUACUUCGGUAAUGACGCUGGGGACGCGAGCGGCGGAUGGGUGAGUAACACGUGGGGAACCUGCCCCAUAGUCUGGGAUACCACUUGGAAACAGGUGCUAAUACCGGAUAAGAAAGCAGAUCGCAUGAUCAGCUUAUAAAAGGCGGCGUAAGCUGUCGCUAUGGGAUGGCCCCGCGGUGCAUUAGCUAGUUGGUAAGGUAACGGCUUACCAAGGCGAUGAUGCAUAGCCGAGUUGAGAGACUGAUCGGCCACAUUGGGACUGAGACACGGCCCAAACUCCUACGGGAGGCAGCAGUAGGGAAUCUUCCACAAUGGACGAAAGUCUGAUGGAGCAACGCCGCGUGAGUGAAGAAGGUUUUCGGAUCGUAAAGCUCUGUUGUUGGUGAAGAAGGAUAGAGGUAGUAACUGGCCUUUAUUUGACGGUAAUCAACCAGAAAGUCACGGCUAACUACGUGCCAGCAGCCGCGGUAAUACGUAGGUGGCAAGCGUUGUCCGGAUUUAUUGGGCGUAAAGCGAGCGCAGGCGGAAGAAUAAGUCUGAUGUGAAAGCCCUCGGCUUAACCGAGGAACUGCAUCGGAAACUGUUUUUCUUGAGUGCAGAAGAGGAGAGUGGAACUCCAUGUGUAGCGGUGGAAUGCGUAGAUAUAUGGAAGAACACCAGUGGCGAAGGCGGCUCUCUGGUCUGCAACUGACGCUGAGGCUCGAAAGCAUGGGUAGCGAACAGGAUUAGAUACCCUGGUAGUCCAUGCCGUAAACGAUGAGUGCUAAGUGUUGGGAGGUUUCCGCCUCUCAGUGCUGCAGCUAACGCAUUAAGCACUCCGCCUGGGGAGUACGACCGCAAGGUUGAAACUCAAAGGAAUUGACGGGGGCCCGCACAAGCGGUGGAGCAUGUGGUUUAAUUCGAAGCAACGCGAGGAACCUUACCAGGUCUUGACAUCUAGUGCCAUCCUAAGAGAUUAGGAGUUCCCUUCGGGGACGCUAAGACAGGUGGUGCAUGGCUGUCGUCAGCUCGUGUCGUGAGAUGUUGGGUUAAGUCCCGCAACGAGCGCAACCCUUGUUAUUAGUUGCCAGCAUUAAGUUGGGCACUCUAAUGAGACUGCCGGUGACAAACCGGAGGAAGGUGGGGAUGACGUCAAGUCAUCAUGCCCCUUAUGACCUGGGCUACACACGUGCUACAAUGGGCAGUACAACGAGAAGCGAGCCUGCGAAGGCAAGCGAAUCUCUGAAAGCUGUUCUCAGUUCGGACUGCAGUCUGCAACUCGACUGCACGAAGCUGGAAUCGCUAGUAAUCGCGGAUCAGCACGCCGCGGUGAAUACGUUCCCGGGCCU
rnacentral:rRNA from 1 species